ACAUGCAGCUAUACCUCCUUGAAAGUGUGUGACCUCACGUCAUCUCAAAAGCUAAGCAGGGUCAGGCUUUGAUAACAUGUGGAUGGGGGAUUGCCGGGGAAUAUUUGGUACUGCAUCUG
rnacentral:rRNA from 1 species